AAGAACAGAGCAAAGAAAAAAAAGAUGAGGCUGGAGAAGUCUGAGAGGGGGAUGGGGCCUGGGCCCCAAGAGGAACCAUGGAUAAUGGAAACAUGGCAUUCCAAGCAGCACAUUCCAAGGCCCUGCAACCCCCUCCCCGGCUGCCACUCCAACUCUAGCCUCCCAGGCCCUGUUCUACAGAUGGUGGAGCCGGCCGCCCAGCAGAUGCAGUUGGACAUGCAGAACUUCCUAAGGCUGAAGAGGUAGGUACUAACGCAGGCCGAGCAGCUGAUGGGGAUAGACAGAUGCAGGAACUGGAGCUGAAGACAGCAGGGUCAGGGGCUGGGGCUCUGUCUGCAUCCUCCACCCUCACCACCUCUGCUACCCCAGCAGCCUGGCUCCUGCCGAGGGCCCCACAAUGGAUCCAAGGGAGCUACUGCUUCUCGUCCUCUUAGCUUUGACCUCUUUCUCUGCUUCCUCUCCCACUGUACGUGUCUGUUUGUUCUCUAAGCCUCCCUAAAAUGAAGGGGCUGGACAGGCUCAUCCCUCCUGUGUCCACACCAGCCAAUGUCCUUACUCUGCCU
rnacentral:lncRNA from 10 species